UACAGAGGUGGCAAGCGUUGUUCGGAAUUACUGGGCGUAAAGGGCGCGUAGGCGGCCGCCUAAGUCAGACGUGAAAUCCCCAGGCUUAACUUGGGAACUGCGUCUGAUACUGGGUGGCUUGAGUUCGGGAGAGGAAUGUGGAAUUCCAGGUGUAGCGGUGAAAUGCGUAGAUAUCUGGAGGAACACCGGUGGCGAAGGCGGCAUUCUGGACCGAAACUGACGCUGAGGCGCGAAAGCCAGGGGAGCAAACGGG
rnacentral:rRNA from 1 species